CCAAUAUCAAUCGAACGUGGCUCUGAUACCACUGAUAGUUUUUGUGUUGUUGUAGUGAUGAGAUAGGAUGAUUGAGGAUGUUUUGUAUGGAAUAAUUUUGGAGGUAAAAAAUAGUUGGCUUUUUAUUGAAAGUUAAUAGUUUGGAAGAUUUUGGUAGAAAGUAAUUUGGUGGACAAAGUGGGUAGGAGAAAGGAAUUUUAU
rnacentral:lncRNA from 1 species